AUUCAGCUGACGAGUCCUAAAUAAUCCGAAACACGCGUCCUGGAU
rnacentral:hammerhead_ribozyme from 1 species